rnacentral:lncRNA from 1 species
CCACGCCAGCACUAAGGUCGCCUGGUCGACAAAUGAGGGUUUUCUUUGGGGCAUCCUGUAGAGCUGUCCUAUUUUCUCUACCACUUUGAGAAGCCCCAAGGGCUGCUUGGCGGCGAGGCACAGACUGGGCUGAAAACUUUUCCGUUGGGCAGUGCGUCCCGGAGACCCAGGAGGCCCAGGCCGGGAGCCCAGGGGGCUGGAGGUUCUGCUGGCUUUUAAGUCUGCUAGGAGGGAAAACUCCCAGCCCCUCCCACGCGUCCUCCCAGACUCGCCGGCCGCCUGCCCCGGGCGGGGAACGCGCACAUCUGGCGGCCCAGGAGCCACAUCUGAUGCACUAACCCCCGCACCCAGAUGUCCAAGAGGCCGGGGGAGUCAAAGAACGCCAGGGGCGGGGCGACCGCGGCUGCGGCUCCUCCCUCGGGCAGAGGGAGUCCAGAUGCGAGGGACGCCCUCCAGAGCCGAGCUGGGCCGGCCGGGCAGCUAGGCGCUGAGACGCAGGCCUUUCCUGGCGCGAAGCGACUCGCCCCGGAGCUCCCCUGCACCGUCCUGGGUGUCAGGACGCGUCAACCCAGAUGACCCGACCCGGAGAUCCUGGAUCCUCUGCCCUCUUCCCCCUACCAAGUCCUUAACCGGAGAGGGAGGAGCUACCAAUGUCCUCCAGACGUUCUCCAAAGCCCGAGCUGCCGGGAGAAGCUUGCUCAAGGCGGGUGCGCCCCUCAGACGUUUGUUUGCACGCAGGGGUUUUGACGUUUCGCUAAGCAACAGCGUUUGCCAGGGAAUCAGGGCUGUUUCGAAGAGCUUGCGUCUAUUUGAUGCUCCCAUCUUGAACAAAUCGUUUCCAUUCGAUUUGUUUAACCAAGGCGAGGGCGGACUAUGUUGUUACUUAAAAGUUAUUCUUCAUCCAAGCUGUCCUCAGAUUUUCAUCUAAGGGUGUCAUAACACCCCAGGUCGUUGCGCAAAUGUUUUGUGACAAUUUAGAAAACCAGAGGGGGGAAAUAUCCUUAGAGAAAAAAUCAUAACCAACAAGAAAAUUAUGUUAAAUGAUGUUGGUCCUUUUUCAUCGGAUGGUCCCAGUUGACACAUAGUCUUUUACAAAACCAGUGACUAUUCACAGUCUUCAAUUUAUGGCACAUCUCCCGGUGGGGGCGAAGUGCAUGAAUGGGUCCCACCUUAUUCACCAGCUGAAACUCUGAACAAGCCUUGGGGUUUCCUCUCCCAAAGACUGCCAGGCUUCACUAAGAAUCAAAACAAAACAGGAUACUAAAUGCCUGCGUGUUCAUGAAUCAAGUAUGUACAGUGAGAGAGAUCUGACAGCACUCCCUGCCUUCCCCCGAAGGAGGAGAAAUGUCAUGAAGCUAAGAGAGACUCAACAUGGAAAAUCCAAACCCUCCGAGGACAUUUACAUAGCAUGCAGAGGGCUGAAUGGUCCAUCUGGGUGCCUCUUCAUCCUCUGAAACCAGGCAGAUCAACUCUCGGAAUCCUGAGCCAUGUUCCCAAAUGGUUCUGUGAUUUAAAGUGUUGUUAAUCAAACACAAGACCCAUAAAGUGAAUUUGGGGUCAUCUUGUCCUUUACUGGUUUCCUGAUUGGGAGGCUCACCCUUGGCUUAUGAUCACAUCCAUUUGGCAGAAAGUCAGCUUAUUUGACAGGGUUGGAAACAAUGCCAUGUGAGCAGAAGAGAAAUUGCUUUCAUCCCUUUUUCUACCUGAUGGUCUUAUAUUAUGAUAUGGUUUGGCUGUGCGCCCACCCAAAUCUCAUCUUGAAUUGUAGUUCCCAUAAUCCCCGUAUGUCAUGGGUGAGACCUCAUGGGAGGUAAAUAAAUUAUGGAAGUGGUUCCCCCAUGCUGUUCUCAUGAUAGUGAGUGAGUUCUCAUGAGAUCUGAAUGGUUUUAUAAGUGGUUUUUCCCCGCUUUGCUCUGCACUUCUCUCUCCUGCCACCAUGUGAAGAAGGAUGUGUUUGCUUCCCCUUCUGCCCUGAUUGUAAGUUUCUGGAGGCCUCCCAAGCCAUGCGGAACUGUGAGUCAAUGAAACCUCUUUCCUUUAUAAAUUACCCAGUCUCAGGCCAGGCACAGUGGCUCACGCCUGUAAUCCCAGCACUUGGGGAGGCUGAGGUGGGCGGAUUGCCUGAGGUCAGGAGUUCGAGACCAGUCUGGCUAACAUGGUGAAAUCCCGUCUCUACUAAAAAUACAGAAUUAGCCAGGCAUGAUGGCGUGUGCCUGUAAUGCCAGAUACUUGGGAGGCUGAGGCAGGGGAAUUGCUUGAACCAGGGAGGUGGAGGUUGCAGUGGGCCAAGGUCACGCCACUGUACUCCAGUCUGGGCGACAGAGCAAGACUCCAUCUCAAAAAUAAAUAAAUAA